GAUGAACGCUAGCGGCAGGCUUAACACAUGCAAGUCGAGGGGUAGGUUACUUCGGUAAUUGAGACCGGCGCACGGGUGCGUAACGCGUAUACAAUCUACCUUUUACAGAGGGAUAGCCCAGAGAAAUUUGGAUUAAUACCUCAUAGUAUUUUUGAAUCGCAUGAUUUGAUUAUUAAAGUUCCAACGGUAAAAGAUGAGCAUGCGUCCCAUUAGCUAGUUGGUAAGGUAACGGCUUACCAAGGCUACGAUGGGUAGGGGUCCUGAGAGGGAGAUCCCCCCACACUGGUACUGAGACACGGACCAGACUCCUACGGGAGGCAGCAGUGAGGAAUAUUGGACAAUGGGCGCAAGCCUGAUCCAGCCAUGCCGCGUGCAGGAUGACGGUCCUAUGGAUUGUAAACUGCUUUUGUACAGGAAGAAACACUCCCUCGUGAGGGAGCUUUGACGGUACUGUAGGAAUAAGGAUCGGCUAACUCCGUGCCAGCAGCCGCGGUAAAGUGACUAC
rnacentral:rRNA from 1 species